rnacentral:rRNA from 1 species
GACGAGCGCUGGCGGCGUGCCUAAUACAUGCAAGUAGAACGCACAGUUUAUACCGUAGCUUGCUACACCAUAGACUGUGAGUUGCGAACGGGUGAGUAACGCGUAGGUAACCUGCCUGGUAGCGGGGGAUAACUAUUGGAAACGAUAGCUAAUACCGCAUAAUAUUGAUUAUUGCAUGAUAAUUGAUUGAAAGAUGCUAUUGCAUCACUACCAGAUGGACCUGCGUUGUAUUAGCUAGUAGGUGAGGUAACGGCUCACCUAGGCGACGAUACAUAGCCGACCUGAGAGGGUGAUCGGCCACACUGGGACUGAGACACGGCCCAGACUCCUACGGGAGGCAGCAGUAGGGAAUCUUCGGCAAUGGACGAAAGUCUGACCGAGCAACGCCGCGUGAGUGAAGAAGGUUUUCGGAUCGUAAAGCUCUGUUGUAAGAGAAGAACGGGUGUGAGAGUGGAAAGUUCACACUGUGACGGUAUCUUACCAGAAAGGGACGGCUAACUACGUG